rnacentral:lncRNA from 1 species
GACGUAUUCGGAUAGGAUAACGAUAGCAAGUCGAAUAUUCGUUGUCCGACCUUUGGUCGGGCGUGCACGUCGGGUCGGGUGUCGGUCAAUCCCCGAAUGUAGUUUGUCGACACGAUCAUCCCGUAGAAUCUGAUAGUCGAGUAGCGUCCGACGUAUUCGGAUAGGAUAACGAUGGCAAGUCGAAUAUCCGUUGUCUGGCCCUUGGUCGGGCAUGCACGU